UUUAGUUGUAUUAUUGGUGGACCAGGUUUAUAUUAAUGGAAGGAGACUUAAUAAAAUGGGGAAUGAUAUUUAUAAUGAAAUGCAUUCUGUGUCUAUAAUCAACUUGAUAAAAGAGCAUAUAACCUACAUAUAAAAAAGAAGAUGUGGUAUGAUUGCCAAUGAGACAACUAUCCACAAAAGACCAAAAUGACACAGACAUUAACAACUAUAGGUCACCGUACGGCCUUCAACAAUGAGCAAAUCCCAUACCGCAUAGUCAGCUAUAAUAGGCCCCGAUAAGACAAUGUAAAACAAUUCAAACGAGAAAACUAACGGCCUUAUUUAUGUAAAAAAAUGAACGAAAAACAAAUAUGUAACACAUAAACAAACGACAACCACUGAAUUACAGGCUGCUGACUUGGG
rnacentral:lncRNA from 1 species